rnacentral:rRNA from 1 species
AGUGAACGCUGGCGGUAGGCCUAACGCAUGCAAGUCGAACGGCAGCACAGUAAGAGCUUGCUCUUACGGGUGGCGAGUGGCGGACGGGUGAGGAAUACAUCGGAAUCUACUUUUUCGUGGGGGAUAACGUAGGGAAACUUACGCUAAUACCGCAUACGACCUACGGGUGAAAGCAGGGGAUCUUCGGACCUUGCGCGAUUGAAUGAGCCGAUGUCGGAUUAGCUAGUUGGCGGGGUAAAGGCCCACCAAGGCGACGAUCCGUAGCUGGUCUGAGAGGAUGAUCAGCCACACUGGAACUGAGACACGGUCCAGACUCCUACGGGAGGCAGCAGUGGGGAAUAUUGGACAAUGGGCGCAAGCCUGAUCCAGCCAUACCGCGUGGGUGAAGAAGGCCUUCGGGUUGUAAAGCCCUUUUGUCGGGAAAGAAAAGCAGCAGGUUAAUACCCCGCUGUUCUGACGGUACCCAAAGAAUAAGCACCGGCUAACUUCGUG